CACAUUUUCCUUGCGCGAGGCUGUUGGCGGCGUCCCCGUGGAAGCACUCUGUGACGGUGCCCAACCACCCAUCUUUCCGCAGCUCUACUUGACUGUAGAAGUUGAAGGCUGCGGCACGACGGGGCCUGGCUCACGUGUGCGGUGAAAAGAUGGCCGCCAGAAGUGCAGUUAACAUCCAUCAUCGUCUGGCAGAGACACAAAGUUUUCCCCUCGUGCUGAGGACGCUCCGACCCCCUCCCCACAGAGCAGCGUGAACCGUGGGCACCACGUGGUACACCUCGGGGUACUCCCUCGUCCUCCAGCCGGACCCUCGGGCCUGUGUCCCCCUUCAUCCAACCCCUCCCCAUCGCCAGGAGUUCUUUUCUUGAGAGCAGGUAAACUAAUAUCCCUGUGGGCGGGCACGCCAUCUGCAACAUCACCGGGAUCUCCAGGCUGUCCAGAGCUGUGACCACCCUGCAGACCAGGGGCUGGGGCUGAGGGGAGGCCUGCCCCACCACUCCCAGCCAUCUCUCCACCCUGGACCCCAGGCUACUGGGCCCGGGCUACUUGGGCGGAGGAGUACUCCCUCGUGAGCUUCCCCGGUGGCCUCUCUGCCAAGCCCCCCUCUGCCCUCUGCUGGAGUGGUCUCCUGUCCUUGGCCUUCCAAGGGGACACAAGGGGCUACCCAGCUAUGGGCUGGGCACUGCACACUGGUUCUGAGGACUCCCGGCCUGUCCUUUUGUCUGGGUCCAAAUCCUACCUCUACCACUCAUCUGAUGGGUGAUCUCUGACAAGUUCUUCACCUUUAUAAGCCUCAGUUUCUGCCUCUCUCAAAUGGGAAUAAUAACUGUAUGUACCGUGCCUAGCACAUUGAAAAGCUCCAUGUUAGCCACGGUUAUUAUUUUUUUAAUUUUUAAAAAUGCUUAUUUUUGAGAGAAAGAGAGAGCGUGCGCACGAGCAGG